rnacentral:lncRNA from 1 species
CUACUAUGAAAUAACAUGUAUCCUUCAGGGGUUUAAUUGCAUAGUUUGACAAUUAACCAUAGACUAGAAUGAUUUAACAUCCAGACGACUAUGUAAUCGGCCUACAGCUAUUUGUAUGGACCACUGGACUAUAUAAGAUUCCUCAAUGGACUACAAGGACAGAAUUCGAUUAGACCACAAUUCGAUCAGGACAGAUUGGUACCGGAGAUUCCGCCAAGGUCUCCCCCUCGUGGGUAGGCUGGAACUAAUGCGCUUAAUAUCCGAAAUACUCUAACAGGAACGAACAGUUAUAACACUAUACGAUCACGUGCCCGUGUGAGAUAUUGAACAUUCGAACAAUUUAACUUUAAAGACAGUUUGUGAACAUUCGAACAUUUGAACUUUAGAAACAUUCUUGACUUUGUAAUUACAUAAUAAAAUAUAUUUAUCCAUUAAUGACUUCGUCACAUAAGUCGUAAAUUUGAUGCCGUUUGACCACGAUCGACUUGGAUUGUCUAAAAUAACGCGA